AAAAAUUUCCCACAUUCUGAACAUGAAUAUGGCUUCUCUCCGGUGUGAAUUUUCUCAUGUUUAUUAAGGCUUGGUUUCUCCGUGAAAUAUUUUCCACAUUCUGAACAUGAAUAAGGCUUCUCUCCUGUGUGACUUCUCUUAUGGCCAAUUAAUUCUGA